rnacentral:rRNA from 1 species
UACGGAGGGUGCGAGCGUUAAUCGGAAUUACUGGGCGUAAAGGGUGCGUAGGUGGUUUGAUAAGUUAUCUGUGAAAUUCCUGGGCUUAACCUGGGCAGGUCAGAUGAUACUGUUGGACUCGAGUAUGGGAGAGGGUAGUGGAAUUUCCGGUGUAGCGGUGAAAUGCGUAGAGAUCGGAAGGAACACCAGUGGCGAAGGCGGCUACCUGGCCUAAUACUGACACUGAGGCACGAAAGCGUGGGGAGCAAACAGG